rnacentral:rRNA from 1 species
UACGUAGGGUGCAAGCGUUAAUCGGAAUUACUGGGCGUAAAGCGUGCGCAGGCGGUUUUGUAAGUCUGUCGUGAAAGCCCCGGGCUCAACCUGGGAAUUGCGAUGGAGACUGCAAGGCUUGAAUCUGGCAGAGGGGGUAGAAUUCCACGUGUAGCAGGUGAAAUGCGUAGAGAUGAUGGAGGAACACCGAUGGCGAAGGCAGCCCCUGGGUCAAGAUUGACGCUCGAUGCACGAAGCGU